rnacentral:rRNA from 1 species
CUAUACUGUGAAACUGCGAAUGGCUCAUUAAAUCAGUUAUCGUUUAUUUGAUAGUACCUUACUACUUGGAUAACCGUGGUAAUUCUAGAGCUAAUACAUGCUAAAAACCCCGACUUCGGAAGGGGUGUAUUUAUUAGAUAAAAAACCAAUGCCCUUCGGGGCUCCUUGGUGAAUCAUGAUAACUUAACGAAUCGCAUGGCCUUGUGCCGGCGAUGGUUCAUUCAAAUUUCUGCCCUAUCAACUUUCGAUUGUAGGAUAGAGGCCUACAAUGGUUUCAACGGGUAACGGGGAAUUAGGGUUCUAUUCCGGAGAGGGAGCCUGAGAAACGGCUACCACAUCCAAGGAAGGCAGCAGGCGCGCAAAUUACCCAAUCCCGAUACGGGGAGGUAGUGACAAUAAAUACUGAUACAGGGCUCUUUUGGGUCUUGUAAUUGGAAUGAGUACAAUUUAAAUCUCUUAACGAGGAACAAUUGGAGGGCAAGUCUGGUGCCAGCAGCCGCGGUAAUUCCAGCUCCAAUAGCGUAUAUUAAAGUUGUUGCAGUUAAAAAGCUCGUAGUUGAACCUUGGGCCUGGCUGGCCGGUCUGCCUCACCGCAUGUACUGGUUCGGCCGGGUCUUUCCUCCUGGGGAUCCGCAUGCCCUUCACUGGGUGUGUUGGGGAACCAGGACUUUUACUUUGAAAAAAUUAGAGUGUUCAAAGCAGGCCUUUGCUCGAAUACAUUAGCAUGGAAUAAUAGAAUAGGACGUGCGGUCCUAUUUUGUUGGUUUCUAGGACCGCCGUAAUGAUUAAUAGGGAUAGUCGGGGGCAUCAGUAUUCAGUUGUCAGAGGUGAAAUUCUUGGAUUUACUGAAG